UGGGGCUCACACCGUUUUAACCACCAGCCAGUGUCAGACAUUUGACUCGUACAUUUCCCUCUGGUCUCGGAGGUUCUGGCAGCAGGUCUGGCUCGUGCACAUGGUUAGCUUACAGCUAACCCAACCCAAUAAACAGUGAUUCCCUAAUCGAAUCUGAUACUAGUUCAAGUUCAGUUUCCCCCACGUGAUGCGGUCCCGCCCUCCUUCCCGGGGCUCCUUUCCCUUCCUUUGUGGCCACUCUCCUGCUUUCUCACCUUCGCAUGUCUCCUCCGGUGAACGCCACGUGCCUGAAGACGUCUUCCCGUGACAGAGGAGAAGUUCUGAACUGGAAACCAGUGGGUGCCCGGAGCCCCCUCGGGCCCUCCUGUCACCCGUGGGCUGGACGCCUCAGGACCCUCACCCUCUCCCUGCGCCUGUACCUGCUGGAAGCCGGCACUGCGUGCCUCUCCCUGUCAGGAAAGAAUUAAAGACAACAUCUAGGACGGUCUCUGUACAUGGAAAAAUGAGAAUGUAUUCGCAGACAAAGCGUGACCUGAGGGAGAAGCCUGCCGGAAGCUGGAUUUUCAAUAACAUAAGACAAUAAAGCUUAGACGCCUAA